GUUCCACUCAAGUCAUUGUGUGGAAUGUAAAUAAAUGAGAAAAUCAUUCACUGCUUCAGGAUUCACCUCUCAUCCUGAAUUCAUGACCCUUAGGAGGCCCAGGGCAUAAUUUUGAGACAGGUGAUGCUUCCGGAUUCCAGAGGAGGAUUCCAGAGCUUCAAACAACCGCCUUUGCUGUUAGCUCUCAGACUAUAUCAGCCCAAGGGAGACAGAAGAGGGCGAAGCUCUUUGGGUGCACACCAGUAAUGGGCAAAACUGCUGGUGUCUCUCUGCCUGGUUGUAUACGGUGUCCUACUAGGGAGACAAGGGAGACAGAUGACCACCACUGAGACAACAUCAUCAACCAUGGAAUCUUUGCUCAGGACCGUCUCCCCAUCCAGACCUCCUUUGCUGAGUUUCAAUUGUUUGUAUGUACAUCAUACAGGGCAUGGUGUCCCAGUUGUUUAUUUAGCCAGAAAAGCAAGAUGAGUUCCACAUCAUCAUCCCCCACCCCUUUUUCUUGUAUUUCUUCCUCCUCCACCACCAGCAAUAUUAUCACCAACAUCAUUACCACCGUGAUCAUCACCAUCAUCAUGCUUGCCUCUGUCUCCCUAAACUUAUGUUUCCACUUGGAUGCUAUCUGAAUAUGCCCUGAAACUUCCCUUAAAAUCAUUUUCCAUUCAAUGAGGAAGACUGAAAAUCCAUCCCUGCAACUCCCGUUUGGAGCGGACAGCAAUUUUUUAAUGUCGCCUGUUACCCAAUAGAAGUGUAUUUUCUGGAAUCUUGUAUGAUUUCUCUCCCACUCAUCUCAUGCAGCCUGAUUGAAAACCCCCAUUUUACCUUUAUGGCUUCGCUUGUCACCUUUGUAAAUUACAGAGCCGGCUUCCCGAGACACUGGUGCAGCCAGGAAUUUAUUUCAAACUGACAUUUUUGGUGUGCCCGCAUGUGGCCCUAUUUGUUCACUGAAAGCUGCAGGACUGGGAAUAUGGAUACUUUAACGUCUCACCAGGCUUUCAUCUCUCUCGCCGGGCUGUCCCUUUGCUGACACGGACCAUUAUUUUUCCCUCACUCAGCCACUCCGAUUCACUUUCUGCAAACCUCCACAUUUUCUCAUCAGCUUGUGACGCGCGCUGACACAUCCCACAUUGGUUAUUUAUUUUGACAUUUGUGUGUGUGAUACACCUAAUGUGGGACGAACCAAAGAGUCAGAUAACCAGUUAUUUUAGACCCGAGAAACAACUUCAUUAUCUUGUGAAAUGUACUUUCAACACUCCAUCCUAACAGGCAAUGAAUGAUGUUGUGUAACACGAGUGUGCCAAUUACCUUUGGAGAUGAAGCCUUGCGCCCUUGGGACUGACAGGAUGCAAAGUGAGACCCUUUUAUUCUGGUAGGAGUCUGGAUUUCUGAACAAGCCCAGAAAUCAUCCAAGGCUAACAUAGAACUCAUAUGAACUUGAAUGGACUUCCACGUUUUCUUCCCUGCAGAUUUCCAGUCCCACCUGAUUCCUGUUCAACCUGGCCCCAGGCUUGGAGACCAAUUAAAGAAAUUGAAAGCACCUUCCCUCAGGAGCCCCACUACCUCUCAUGAGGUUGGCCUCUGUGGGUUCUACUGUGUCCAUCA